ACUGUUAUGGGGGAAUUGAGCCGCCAUGCCCCACGUGAUCGGCACGCGUAUCCAGGGAAGCUACAGCUGCCCUAUGAUCCAGCCCUCCGACCCCGAGUCGGACCUCCUCGGCUCCGCAGCCCGACCCCGGGUCGGCUCCCCUAUGAUCCAGCACUCCGACCCCGAGUCGGACCUCCUCGGCUCCGCAGCCCGACCCCGGGUCGGCUGCCCUAUGAUCCAGCAUUCCGACCCCGAGUCGGAGAUCUUUUGAUAACGACAGGCUAUUCUCCAGAGGCACGCCGCGGCCUCCUGCUCCACUACUCCCUGCAACGGCUGUACCCGAUGCUGCCCAUCGAUCUCCUGUAUCAACCGUACGAAGCGG
rnacentral:lncRNA from 1 species